ACGACUAUACUUGAACAGGAUCUGUUCUAUAGUACGUACAUCUUGAUCUGUGAUCACUAUCAUAGUCAAGUUCCUUGACCCGGACGAUGAGCAGAGGCUUGGGUGCCAGUGCGCGAAAACUGCUGGCCGCGCCGGGCGAAAGCCUGCGCUCGGUCAGCUUCAUGAACGUCCUGCUGCGCUCAUUCCGCCGGCAGUGAAAGCACUCAAGGGUUCUGACGGGCC
rnacentral:snoRNA from 1 species